GAUGAACGCUGGCGGCGUGCCUAAUACAUGCAAGUCGAGCGAACGGACGAGAGUGCUUGCACUCUCUGAUGUUAGCGGCGGACGGGUGAGUAACACGUGGGUAACCUACCUAUAAGACUGGGAUAACUUCGGGAAACCGGAGCUAAUACCGGAUAAUAUUUAGCUUCGCAUGAAGCAAUAGUGAAAGACGGUUCUGCUGUCACUUAUAGAUGGACCCGCGGUGUAUUAGCUAGUUGGUGAGGUAACGGCUCACCAAGGCAACGAUACAUAGCCGACCUGAGAGGGUGAUCGGCCACACUGGGACUGAGACACGGCCCAGACUCCUACGGGAGGCAGCAGUAGGGAAUCUUCCGCAAUGGACGAAAGUCUGACGGAGCAACGCCGCGUGAGUGAAGAAGGUUUUCGGAUCAUAAAACUCUGUUGUAAGGGAAGAACAAGUACGUUAGUAACUGAACGUACCUUGACGGUACCUUACCAGAAAGCCACGGCUAACUACGUGCCAGCCGCCGCAGUAA
rnacentral:rRNA from 1 species